ACGCCCACCAGGGCGCGGCUCUCCGGGACCAGGAGUCUCUGCAGGACUCUGUCCCUUCUCUUCAGGUUUUCAAAAGCCGAACUCACUCAGGCUGCGCAGGCGCAGCUUGCUCAGGCGGGCUUCUCCUGCAAGGAGUGGAGUGGUCUUUGGUGAACCCUGUGAAGGGGUCUUGAACCCGCGAAGAGGACAUGCCCUACGGAUUGAGAACUACUGUCUAUACAGAGUGGAAUCAUUUUUCAGCUAUCAGACCAUUGAAAUCAUGGAACUAAGGAAACUGGAAUACCAGCCAGACAAGGAGCUUGUCUGCUUAGCCUUUGUCAGGACUUGGACAAUGGAUUUAGGGACAGGGGUGUGGCAAGUCGCCGGAUUACUUUGUUCAACUUUCCAACAUGGACAUAUUUUUAUGUUUUUAUUUUUUAUUUUUUGGUUUUGGUUUUUUGAGACAGGGUUUCUCUGUAGCUUUGGAGCCUGCCCUGGAACUCGCUCUGUAGAUCAGGCUGGCCUCGAACUCAAAGAGAUCCGUCUGCUUCUGCCUCCCAAGUGCUGGGAUUAAAGGCAUGUGCUUCCACUGCCCAGCAUGGGCCACGUUUACUAAAUCCCCUUUCUCUGUACUUCAGUAUUAUUUCUUUAGUUGGCUUAUGGAGAAAGGUGAGCACAGACUGUUAGGGCUUCCAGGGUCCAGGUUCUUACCCUACACAGGUCUUGACUCAAAACAAAACAUUCAAUGAGAUUGUUAAUCUCAAAGAUGGGAGAAGAAAGACCACCAACCCAAAUAUUAUGACUGAAUUAAUUAAAACAGAUUUUUUAAAAAUUCAGGUACACGAGCUACCUCCCACUAAGACCCAGUUCAAGAGGUCAGCUUUGGAUGUGAGAAAGACAAGGCUUUUAUAGCUUAAGGGUUGGGGUUUCCCAGUGCGGGAUAUUGUGGGUAAAAUGGGGGGGGGGUUACAGAAGCAGAAAAUAAGCAUAACAAGUUAGUCCCCCCCUGAAAAAAAGACAUGGUUGCAAAGUGGGCAUAAUAGCAGGUAGUCAAGUCAAAACAAGGUAGUCAUAAGCAGUCAUAAAACCUUUUGAAACAAAGAUAGGUUUGCAAGAUGGUAAUAAACAGCUCUUUAAACAAA